UACGUAGGUGGCAAGCGUUAUCCGGAUUUACUGGGUGUAAAGGGAGCGUAGACGGCACUGCAAGUCUGGAGUGAAAGCCCGAGGCCCAACCACGGGACUGCUCUGGAAACUGCGGGGCUGGAGUGCAGGAGGGGUAAGCGGAAUUCCUAGUGUAGCGGUGAAAUGCGUAGAUAUUAGGAGGAACACCGGUGGCGAAGGCGGCUUACUGGACUGUAACUGACGUUGAGGCUCGAAGGCGUGGGGAGCAAACAGG
rnacentral:rRNA from 1 species